rnacentral:tRNA from 1 species
GCUCCCAUGUGGUAGUGCUGGUCACUGCGCUCGCCUUGCACGUGGGAGACCCGGGUUCGAUUCCCGGUGGGGUCA